UUCCGUAGGGUGAACCUGCGGAAGGAUCAUUAACGAAUAUCUAUGGCGUUGGUUGUAGCUGGCUCCUAGGAGCAUCUUGUGCACACCCGUCAUUCAGAUCAUCUUUCCACCUGUGAACCAUGUGUAGGCCUGGAUACCCCUCGCUUUGGCAACAAAGCGGAUGCAAGGAUUGCUGUGUCGACAAGGCCGGCUCUCUUUGAAUUUCCAGGUUCUAUGUCUUUUACACACCCCAUUUGAAUGAUGUAGAAUGUAGUCAAUGGGCUUUCACGCCUAUAAAACACUAUACAACUUUCAGCAACGGAUCUCUUGGCUCUCGCAUCGAUGAAGAACGCAGCGAAAUGCGAUAAGUAAUGUGAAUUGCAGAAUUCAGUGAAUCAUCGAAUCUUUGAACGCACCUUGCGCUCCUUGGUAUUCCGAGGAGCAUGCCUGUUUGAGUGUCAUUAAAUUCUCAACCUCACCAGUUUUGUAACAAAGACCAGGGGAGGGUUUGGAUGGGGGGGUUUUGCAGGUUGCCUUCAGGGUUGUUUUGUUCUUCUGAAAUGCUUUACCAGGGAGCUCAUGUUGAGCCUCCCGCCUAAUGGUUGUGAUAAUUAUUUCCCCCGUGGAAUUGGACUCAUGCUUGCUUCUAACCGUCCGCAAGGACAAUUUACUUGACCAAUUUGACCUCAAAUCAGGUAGAUGAGCGUCCCCGCUGAUACUUAAGCAUAUCAAUAAGGCCGGAGGAA
rnacentral:rRNA from 1 species